AGUGGCAACACCUGUCUCGGCGUCAGGAGGUCCGGCUUCCCCUCUGACGUAGCCUCCGACAAGUCCUUUGGGUUUUCUGGGCCUUUCGUGUCCUUCUCCGGAAAGUGAGGAGGCUGACUGCUCCCGAUUGCCGAGUCCGGCUGAGGUCUAGCCGAGCCUCCUCGUUGAGGAACGUGGGUCGACGUGGAGCGCAGGCCCCAGGCCGCCAAGAUGGCGGCAGCUGUUGCCGCGCAGGUGAAAUGCCCGGAUGGAGGAACAGCGGGAGCCCCCUGCAGGCUAAGAUGCAAGAUUUCACCCCCAGAGACCCUGGUGGAGCGCCUCAAAGAGGUUGCUGCUGGUAUUACAGCAGGGCGAGGGCCUCGUUCUUUUUGGGUUUGGAGAGAGUCUGCCCUUAGUUCUCAGCCUGUUUGAGAGGAAAUAAGAGACACCUCUGUACGCCUGCCUUUUCUGAACCGUAAGUGAGCCAACGCCACACAGUGGCCGAGAGGCCCCGGCUGGAUUGUCCUCUGAUGGAAAGUCAAGAGCUGCCUGUAUCUUUCCCAUGAAGGUUCUGCCAGGACGACGGUAUUUUUGGAGCCCCCAUGUUACAGAUGAGGAAACUGGCUUGGAGACGUUGAAAACAUGUUUGAAGUUACUCAGAUACCAAGUGGUAGAGACAAGAUCUGAACAUACCUCCGUCCGAUGGCCUGUCUGACAGCAUAGCCUGGGCUCUGGACUCUGCCUCCCUGUGGGGUGGGCUGCUCAUGCCCGUGUGUGCCAAGGUGGAGCUGGGGGUGGCAGGUGGACCUUUGGACACUCAGUGAUGCUGGGGAGUCAUUCGCCAUGUUGGCCCAUGCGAAAGAUGUUGCAGCUCGGUGCCGAUGGCCCUGUAAGUACAGCUAAUUUUCUGGUCUUUUGCUUUUAUAAAGGAAAAUAGAAGAGUUUAGAGAGCUCCCUACACUUAUCGCAGCCUCUAGAAAUGCUGUCUUCUGCUUGGUGAAUGGCUGCACCAUUUAUCCCAAAGCUCCAAAAAGGUUCCUGUCGUCCAUCAAUGGAACUCUAUUUUGCGACAGGGACUGUUACCAUCUUAUUUGAAAUCCUGCCUGACCAGCCGAGGCUGUUAAAGGGCCCACUUCCUCUCCGUCCUGCACGCUCCUCCCAGGGAACAAGAACCAAGUUCUCUUCCAUCACCUCUUGAGCGAUGCUGGCCAUGCAAGCCCAGCUACAGGGUGAAUUACAGCUCUGCUCCAGCCCUUUCUCACUCUGGGACUUUGACUCCGUUGUAUAACCUCUCUGAGCUUCUGUUUCCUGAUCAGUAAGAUGGGGAUAAUAAAAAGAAUGUCUGCUGCACGGGUUUGUUGUGGGGAUUAAAUGAAAUGAUGCAUGUUAAAUGAUUGGCGCGAUAAAUUUUGGCACCGUCAUUCUCUCAGCUUGUAUCUAAACCCUGCAAUUAAGGAUUAGGACCUCUAGCAAAUCGUUCCCAGUAUCUUGCCUUAUGGCAACAAAUGUGCCCAGAGCGCCAGGAGCCAGGCGAUCUCUAAGACCCUGCUUCUCAAUGCGUGGUUAUUUCCAAUAGCUCUCUGUGGGGUGAAAAUGUACAAUGAGCAAAAUUUGCUUCGGAGAAAGCCUCUCUCCUUUACUCUCCCUGCCUCCGUGUUGCAAAGGCUUCCUUUUUUCACAUCUGGGACCCUCGUGCUGACCUUGGGCUCCUCACAGCUCCUCGCUGGAGACCAAGGCACCUGGACCCUCAUGUCCUGAUGAAGACGGACCCAGGCCCUUUUACAAGGACGGGGAAAUUUGCUCGGUCUGAGCCGGGAGUGGAUUUGUUUCCCUCCAAUUAGUUGGAAAAUCGAACUUGAUCUAUGAAGAAGACAGAUUUAUAGCCUGAGCUGAUAUAUGACGGCCCUCGCCUGGUUAUAAUAAAAGAUGAAAUCACUCCAGUGGGGGUGUGGGUGGACACUGGGCGGGUUACUAAUGACUCUUCCCUCUGAUUUUCAGGACCUGAGCGAAGCCAGCCAGGAUGAUCAAAGAGCCCUUCAUAGUGGCUCAAAGGUAAUUUGGGGAGCUGGAGAGGAAGACGUUUGAAGUGUUCAUGUUUCCUUUGUUUUCCAUUCCACCCCCUUGCAGGGGCCCUGGUGAUGCUCCUCUCUGUGCAGCAAGUGCGUCUCCUCUGGCCCAUUCUCCACGGGAGUCUGGGUAGCGUGCCAGUCCUCGGGACGGAUGGCGGCCAACACGGCCUCGCCACCCCGUAUCUACAGAGGCUGUUUCUCCCCUUUGCUUGUGAGCGUUCCUUUCUCUGCCUCUUUAGCUGUUGAUUUACUUUUGUUCUGUUUUGCUGCGCUCUCCUUGGUGCUUCUGCCUUCUGCCGUCUCCCCGGAUGGCGUCCCGUGCUCCUCCUCUCCCUUCAUCUUCCUUCCGCAUCCUCUUUGCUGCCGCACUGCGUUCGCUGCCUUAUUUGCUUCCUUUCCUUUCAUGGUCUUGUGUUUGAUGCUCCUCUUUGCCUCCUUUCCUCGCUCUGAUUCUGGCUCCUAAUAUCUUGAAAGAGCGUUUGAUAACGUGUGCCUGACCCUGCCUGACCUCGGGUGAGUGAGUCUCCCCAGGCAGCUUUUGAUGUGGUCUGUGUGUGAUUGACGAAAGCUGCUCAAUUUGCUCUUCAAAGCUCUGUUUACGGAGAGUUUGGAGGCAUCUCCUCGGGAUUUCCUCUUCUUCUCUCCAGAAACACUUCUAAAGGAUAGGACGAAACCACACCCCUUGUCAAGUGUUCAUCGUCCGCCUGGAUCCCGGAUUCCGGAUCCCGGAUCCCAGAUCCCGUAAUGCUCGCGAGAGCAGGAUCCCACUGUCCCGCCCACCUUUUCUUCUUGAACCGUCGUUAUCCCUUGAGUCCUCACGGCAGAGCUUUUCAUCCACCAGGAAAGUUCACUUUGAAUACAACGCGUUUGCCCCCCAAAGAAACACUUAGAUUUGGACACCGAGUUAUAAAAUAGAGGACAAAUGCCGUCAGUGUUACUACCAGAAUCUAAGCACAUUAAGUGUCCUGCCUACGUAGAAUAUGGUCAAGAGCCAUAAGCGAAACAAUUGUCUCCAGCUUUGCAUUCUAGAAAGAGCAGUAGGUCGCGUUCUUUCCAAUACUGAUUACUCUGGAUCCCCAAAGCACAUGAGACGAUGAGGUGUAUUUUUCAUAGGGUUCAGGUUUCUUGCAGUGCUGUUUCUGUUUUUCAACCCAGGAAGAGGAUUCUCCCACCUGCCUCAGAAGGCUUACACAUUCAGCUGCUUAAGGAAAGAGGGAUGAGCAAAAUGUUAGUAGGAGACAUCCAGCUGGUAGAUGCUCUGAUUCUGAGAAUCUAAUACUUUAGGUGCGAUGAAUACAGUGCAUUAGAAAGAUCACUGAGUUUUGUGCUGGAAUACCUGUGUUUACAUGUAGAUUUGGACAAUUAUUAGUUGAAUGACCAUCAGUAAAAUUUUAAUUUUUUCCCAGUCUUUUUUAAACAGUUUUGUAUGUGUGUGUAUGUGUUUUUUUGGUUUUGUUUUGUCUUUUUCAGGGCCGCACCCAUGGCAUAAUGGAGAUUCCCAGGCUAGGGUUCGAAUUGGAGCUGUAGCCACUGGCCUAUACUACAGUAAUAGCAACGCCAGAUCCGAGCUGCAUCUGCGACCUACACCACAGCUCACAGCAACACCGGGUCCUUGACCCACCAGAGCGAGGCCAGGGAUUGAACCUGCGUCCGCAUGGUUACUAGUCAGAUUGGUUUCUGCUGAGCCACAAUAGGAACUCCUAAACAGCUUUUUGAGGAAUAGUUUAUAUACCAUAAAAAGUCAGCCACUGUAAGUGUACAGCUCAGUGAUUUUUAGUAAAUUUGUGAAGCCGUCACCACAAGGAAAUUUUAUAACAUUUUUGUUAAAUCUUUUAACCUCUCUCCAUUUUUUCCCCCUUCAUCUUAACACGGCACUCACACGGUGCCUUGAUCACAAACGCGGCCGCAAUCCUAAUCCUUCCGUGCUUUGCGUCAUGACUUUGUUGCUGCUUUUCCACUGAGAGGUAGGACUGCUCUCCCCAGGCCUCGGGUCUGGGGCUGGCCUUGUGACCGACUCUGACAAAAAGUCAAAGUGUGGCUGCAGCGAAGGUGCACCCCGUUCUGAGCCUAAACCUCAGAUGGCUCUGCAUGUGCUUCUGCUUGCUCUUUUGGAGCCCUGCCGUCUUCACCACGGGUAGAAGGUUGGGCCAGCGGGCUGGGAAAUGAAAAAUCAUGCAGGGAGAGGCCCCACCUCCACUUAGGCCAUCUCAGAUCAGCCUCCCCCAGCUGCCCUCCCCCUAACCACCCCAGAGACUGGCCCAGUGCAGCCAGCCAGGACUAGCAGCUCUGGCAAGCCACCCUGGGGACCCAUAAGAUGUGCUAGAAGGAAGAUGAGUGAAGCUACUGAGCUUUAGGGUAUUGUGAUUUCUAAUAAGAAUAUGUAUUGGGUCUUAGACCCAUUCCUGGUGCAGAGCUCCUAAAACCACUGGAAUUUCCCAAGUAUAAAGAGCUACAAAGGUGUCUCUUGUUAUGUUAAUAAAGUGACUUUUGCAAAGCCAGAAGGAUGUGGGCUGAUUGACAGUGGAGCCAACCACAGAUUAGAGGGUUGGACCUUUCAGUCCCACCCCCUGACCUCUGGGGAGGAGGGUGGGCCAGAGGUUGAACCAGUUGCUAAUGGCCAAUGAUUCAAUCAAAAGGAUAGGGUUCAGAAGGCUUCCAGUUGGUGAACACUUGGCAUUGUGGGGGAGAGGCGCUCCUGGAGAGGGCAUGGGAGUCUGCCCCCCUUUCCCGUGCCUUGCCUUAGGCAUCUCUUCCCUCUGGCUAUGCCUGAAUUAUAGCCUUUUAUAAUAAACUAGUGAAAAAAAAAAAAA
rnacentral:lncRNA from 1 species